CUCAUAAUUUGUGCACUGUACUGUAGGUAUUCUGGAACAGGAAUGAAUGAAUGAAGGAAUGAAUGGCGUAAAAGGCUCCGAAAUUUCGUGGAUUUGUACUUUUCGCUUCAACUUUUUCAGAUUCCUUCAGAAUGAAAUAAAAAG
rnacentral:ribozyme from 17 species